GCGUCGGCCUGCCGGAGCCCCCAGCGAUGGGAAGACCUCAGACUGCUUUUGUGACCUGGGAGGCGGCAUUGCUUAAGUUGAGGCCCCGAGAGACCCUGGGGCACCAGCAGCCCAGUUCUGCUGCGCUUUCUCCCCACUUCCUUUUCACUGCCCAGGUUUCCUGUCCUUGAGGUCCCAGGCCUGGGGUGCCUUGGACGGAAACUCGGUGAGGAGAAGGGGGCUGCGAAUUCUGUUCAGACUCAUCUUUUCCUCUGCGGCUUUUGGUGACGUCUGGGGAAACCUGAGGGAAAGGAGCCUGCCGAAGGACUCUCCAGACAGGUGUAGACGUCUGGCUACAAAAAUCUGUGAGGGGAGCCUGCUUGUGCCGGUUAUUGAUUUAUUGCCUCUCAACUCCAAAUUCACCCUUUUUGACUUCACUGUGAAAAUGGAUCUGGGCCUUUUAAAGCAUCAUCUAUUUUCUGCUGCCAUCCAUGAAACAGUAACAGGCCCCAGACUCUUCACAUAUCCUGAAACUACUCGCCUACCUAAGAGAAUCUUGACAUUAUUGGCAUAAUCUCCACCAACGUAUGCCCUUCCUCCCAUGAAAGGAAGCUGAGAGACGGGAUGAGUCAAGUAACAUAAUAAACUUCUGAGAAGUACGCAGGCCUCUCACUGUUGUGGCCUCUCCCGUUGCGGAGCACAGGCUCCAGACGCGCAGGCUCAGUGGCCAUGGAUCACAGGACCAGCCUUUCUGCGGCAUGUGGGAUCUUCCCGGACCGGGGCACGAACCCACGUCUCCUGCAUCGGCAGGCGGACUCUCAACCACUGCGCCACCAGGG